rnacentral:rRNA from 1 species
UCGCCGAAGGAUCGGCCCGCGUCUGAUUAGCUAGUUGGUGAGGUAACGGCUCACCAAGGCGACGAUCAGUAGCUGGUCUGAGAGGAUGAUCAGCCUCACUGGGACUGAGACACGGCCCAG